rfam:Triticum aestivum genome assembly, contig: Triticum_aestivum_CS42_TGACv1_scaffold_499519_6BL
CAGGUACUCCCUCCGCCCGGAAAUACUUGUCAUUAAAAUGGAUAAAAAAGGAUGUAUCUAGACGUAUUUUAGUUCUAGAUACAUCUCUUUUUAUCCAUUUUGAUGACAAGUAUUUUCGGACGGAGGGAGUAGAAC